CCAAGAACUUGUAGAACUCCACGACAAAUAAGAACUUUCUCUUCGUCUUUUCCUCAUUCUUGUGACAUCAGGUUUCUUGCAGGUCUCCUGGAUAUGCUCCAGUUCCACCGUCUUAUAGUCAAGUGGCCAGUUCUGCCAAUGUGCUCUCAAAUGGGGAACGAGCAUUGAGUAAAUAAUUAUUGCAUGAUCAAUUAGCAUAUGUACCCUUUGCUCAAUAUCCACAAUUUGUUUUCUCCUUUUUCAAUAUCCAGGUGCUAACGACCUUGGUAUUCCAAAGGCUCAACUUGAGGCCCAUUAGAUAUCUUUACAGCAACAAAUUGAGAACUCAGAGGCAAGGAAGUACAUAUUAAAUGAACUCAAUGGCACUGCGAGUAAACACCAAGCAUGUCGUGAAAUGUGACAUACAACUCAUAUGGAGUCGAAUUCUUUUGAUACUGCAAUUGAUUUAGCUGUGCCUACGCUCAAA